rnacentral:rRNA from 1 species
CACGAACGCUGGCGGCAGGCUUAACACAUGCAAGUCGAACGAAGUCUUCGGACUUAGUGGCGGACGGGUGCGUAACACGUGGGAACGUACCUUUAGGUUCGGAACAACUCAGGGAAACUUGAGCUAAUACCGGAUGAACACUUCGGGAGAAAGAUUUAUCGCCGAAAGAGCGGCCCGCGUUAGAUUAGCUAGUUGGUGAGGUAAAGGCUCACCAAGGCUACGAUCUAUAGCUGGUCUGAGAGGAUGAUCAGCCACACUGGGACUGAGACACGGCCCAGACUCCUACGGGAGGCAGCAGUGGGGAAUCUUGCGCAAUGGGCGAAAGCCUGACGCAGCCAUGCCGCGUGAAUGAUGAAGGUCUUAGGAUUGUAAAAUUCUUUUACCAGGGACGAUAAUGACGGUACCUGGAGAAAAAGCCCCGGCUAACUUCGUGCCAGCCGCCGCCGUAA